rnacentral:lncRNA from 10 species
GGCGCAGAAAGUCCUUAAAGGGGCCGCAUGUACGGGCGCCGGGGGCGGGGCCGGCCGGGAAACUGAGGCCGAAAGGAAGUUCCGGUCUGGGCCUCAACGCCACGCCCGCCCGCGGGCUCGCAGCCAGGUCCCUUCACCUGCAGAGGGCCGGUGAGGACCGCCCAGACGGGCGGGCGCGGGCCCCCGCCCCCGAGCUCGCCCCGCGCAGGGCGCCCUGAACCCCGCGGCGCCUCCCCGCUCCGGCCUCGGGAAGGGAAUCCCUGGGCGGGCUUGGGGGUCUUCGGGGCCCACCUCGGCGCCAGACGCACAGCAGGUACCCCUGGGCCCGGGCUGGCCCUGGGCGGAAUGAGAAGCAGAGGCGCCGUCCGUCCUGCCGCCGAAGUCCGCAGCCUCGAACGCAGGGGAGUGCGAGGUCGGCUGCGGACGGACGGACCUGGAGACCGCGCUUGGGAAACCGUGGCUUCGGAGGAGCGUGGUGUGGACCCCACUCGCGGGGCGCCCGGCACAGGCCACGCAGAGCAGACGCCCGACUGGGCUCCCGGGGCUGGGUGCAGGGCGGGGGCCGCCGGCGGCGGGCCGGGGUUUCUUUUUCGGGGGGAUGGGCGUGCCCUUGCAUUACGGUGGUGGUAGCUCACAACUCUGUUAAUCGUGUUUUUACAGGGUGGGUUUCAGGAUGUGUGAGUUAUAUCUCAGUAAAGCAAUUAUUUUAAAAAGGAAAAGAAGAGGGACUCCCUGCGCCGCCCCUCUCUGCAGCACCAGCUUCUGUCCCUGGGCGUCAGUGGCUCCCAGCUCCUAGCUUGCAGCCAGCCCCGAGCCGCUCCUCCGCCUCACCCCUUCCUCACCCUGCCUCUUGCUUCACUGAGCAAGCUGCAGCCAGACCCUCCCUCAGCGCCCCUUGCCCUGUGCAUCCAAUCCCCGGCCUGUGGCUUCCUCCAAGGCACCCAUCCAGCAGUUUCCCUCUGUCUUCUACAGCGUGGUUUUUUUUGUUGUUACUAGUUCUCAUUAGUAUAAAAGGGUGCCGUUUCUCCCAUACUAACAAAACCCUCUCUUUAUCCAACUUUUCUUACCAAUUGCUAAGUCCAGUCUCCUUUACACUGCCCCGGGGUGUCCUCUCAGCCCUCAGGCUCAACAGCACAGCCAAGCUGCCCGUCCACUGCCCUCUGUAUCCGCUGAUGGCCCUGCAGCCUUUUUUUUUUUUUUUUUUUU